UACGUAGGGUGUGAGCGUUAAUCGGAAUUACUGGGCGUAAAGCGUGCGCAGGCGGUUCGCUGUGUCCGAUGUGAAAGCCCCGGGCUUAACCUGGGAAUGGCAUUGGAAACUGGCGGGCUUGAGUGCGGCAGAGGGGGGUGGAAUUCCGCGUGUAGCAGUGAAAUGCGUAGAUAUCGGGAGGAACACCAGUGGCGAAGGCGGCCUUCUGGCUCGCAACUGACGCUGUAGCGCGAAAGCGUGGGGAGCGAACGGG
rnacentral:rRNA from 1 species